ACAUGAAUGUGAAAUGAGAGCCAAGUUCAAUAUGAACUACAGGUAUAUGUGUUGUUGACUUCGCCGACAAAUGAAUUGAGAUUUCUGUGUAGAAAAUUUUUUUUAGUAUGGAUUUAUUUUACUUGUGGUGCAUUCAAGUUCAAGAUUUAACGCACAUGUUUUAUUAUAUUGGCUUAUGUUGUUUUUCACUAAUUUGGUUUGUUGGUAAAAAAUUGCCAAGUCACAUCUUGAACUUGAAUUAAAUCCCAAGUAAAAUAAAUGCAGUAAGUAGUAAAAAUAUUUUCUACACAGAACUUGGCACCCAUGAUCUCAAUUCUUUUGUCGGUGAAGUCAACAACAAUGCAUACUCGAUUACUCGUACUUCAUAUUGAACUUGGCUUUCAUUUAACUCCACAAUACAUCAACAAUAUUUAAAACAAAACUAUUUACUGUAAUGCUUCACAGUUCUCAUUUAAUAUUUAUGUUUUUGAUAGUAUACAACCCUUAUCGAGCUUGUUUACAAUAAACUUUAUCACUAUAAAUACAAGUAAGUGCUCAAGGCUCAUCAUUCUCUUCCGAUUGUAUCUCAGGUUCAGAUGUUCGACGAAGGUGUAUAAAAGGUCACUUCACAAGUACUGUUUCUAUUAUGUGAUUUAUGUGAAAAUAUUCAACGAUGACCACUCUGCGUACAAUUCUUGGUGUCGCGUCUGUGAUGAUGCUCGCCUUACUCCCAGCUAGCGGCUUCGAGAUCAUGUUAAGAUUCAUCCCCGACUACGUUACCUGGGAGAAGUGCAAAACGCCUGGCUUCUACCAAGGCAGAAGGAUCCUCACACCACAAGACGUCAACGCCACAAUACUUAACAUCUUUGAAUGUGAAACGAGUUUAACAGAAAUAAAGUCAAACGAUUUCAAUGGCCUACCAAACUUAGCUCAAAUCUUCUUGCAAAAUAAUGACAUCACGCGCGUAGACCCGAGCGCUUUUCAGACAGUACCCAACUUAAUGACUCUAGAUUUAUCUAACAACAAGUUGCGUGAGCCACCCCUAUUUGAGUACACUUUCCGACUGUUAGUGCUUAAAUUGAGGUCUAAUAAAAUCACUGGACUUCACAACCCAAGAACUUUCUCUGCUUGUGCAGGAUUAUAUACACUUGAUUUAUCAGGAAAUUUAAUCGAGUAUAUACACCCGGAAAUCUUCAGACCAUUAAAAGUGUUAAUGGAAUUACAUUUAAACAACAAUAAAAUAGCGUUUAUUCCAAGCAAUUUGUUCAUUAGUAAUCUUUGGAUGCUUUAUCUACAUGACAAUAGAUUUGCUUUUCUGCCAGCGGAUUUCGUGUCCGGUCUGAAUAACGCUCAUGAUUUAGAUCUACUUUCUUUGUACAACAAUCCGUGGAAAUGUGAGUGUUUGCUUGAGGUACUGGCAGAAAUACGGAUACAGAGAGGUAGGCACUUAUUGAUUGGGCAUUUUGGAGACCCGAUAAAGUGCAUAUUCAAUGGUAUGAAACCGUGUUACAGAGCCACUCCGGCUUUAAUGAAAUAAAACUGAAGAUUGGUUAUUUAAUUUUGUUCUUGCAGACGUAUGUUAAAUAUGUUUUUUUAUAUUUUAUUUACCAUGGCGGGAUGCCACUUGAAACUGCACAAAGAGAACCAUAAUGUUGAUAUUGUUUAUUUAUUUUAUUUUUUAUUUUAUUUUAUUGAUAAAAAUGUUUACAUGACAUUACAGUUGAACCAAUGCGUCACGAAACUUAAACUAACUAAUAAUUAUAAGUAUUAACAAUUAUAAAACAAUAAUGGCACAUUAACAAAUUAAAUUGGGACAGUUGAGCACCUAGCAUCCAUCAGCAGUUUAACAAUUGCUUUACGAGCUCUGCUCUUCAAAGCCAGCGUGUGGUCAAAUAAUAACACAAAUUAUACAAUACUAUUUAAACUUUUUUUUCUAUUUAAACUGUUUUUAUUAGUAUAAAAAUAAAUAAAUAAAAAAUUUCUUUCGGGCAAAAAUAAAAACUAAAAACAUGUAUUUAUUUCAAAAGGAUCAAUACUGGACAGUUACAUGUAAGACACGACGCCGCAAAAAAAGUUUGCCGGAUAUCUUUUGUUGUCACUUCUUGUAUUGUUGACUGUUUCAACUGGAAGCCCGCCAUGGUAAAUGAAAUGGGGUAUAGGUACAAUAUACGCUAAUCAACGAACUGAAUAAUUUUCGGAUAAUAAUAAUAAUGAACUUCACAGAACUUAUUUUUAUAGUUAUUCAAAACAUGAUACUGUAUCAGUUUUAAGAAUGCAGGUCAUUAGGUUGUCAAUUUUAUCAUGCUAGCAUACUUAAGACGGUAGAUUAUAAUUAAUGGGCGGCUGGCGGAUGCAAAUUACGUCAAAAUAAUGUAGGACGAUAUGGAUAUGGAUACGACUGCAAUCGAUUUAAAUAAAAAUAAAAUUUGCACGCCGUAAGUCCGCAGAAUUGUGCUGGACUAAUUUUUCGAUGUAACAUUGUGUUAACCAUAAUUCUAGCAAGAUACAAACGAUUGUCAGGCUACGCACCCAGAUGACUGAAAUAGAUAUUUUCAUUUGACUUACUAGGACUCCGCCUUCCGCCAUGAGGUAUGAUGAUGGUUCGCGGGCUGCUCGUGUAGGACGGCAUGCUCGGAUGUACGUAUUCAUCUAUGCUGUCCUCUGUCAACAUUUUAUAAUAUUUGUAUGAUUAUUCAUAAGUGCUUGUUGACCUACUCGAAUAAAUAAUAUUUUGAAUCUUGAUUCUAUAAACAUAUUAUAGGCCAUUCCAAACGGGAAAUUUUUACGCCAAUCUGAUAAAAUUGUGAUCAAAUCAGGUGGUGUGGACGCAUACUCCAAUUUGGCUCAACGAUUCCACUUUAUUCCAUUGUAUGAUUAUGACCGAUAAAAUGUGCCAUUAUCAAGCAAAAUAGUACUUAUUGACCGUUGUAAUAACUCAAGACACGAGUGUCUUGGUUUUUAAGACAAAACAAGACAAUUUUAUAAUUUUAUCUCCCUUAAUUUUAGACGCUUAAUACCCGAAAAUAUGGAACAAAUUCUGGUCGUUUACUUUAACAAUAGUAAAUGGGACAUUCACGAAGAAAAAAUUGGGAUGAGUAAAAUUAUAAAAUUGUUUUGUCUUGUCUUAAAAACGAAGAAGAGUACAUUGAGUUUUUAUUUAUUAUUUUUACUCUUAAUAAAAACGUAUUUUCACAAGUAAACCCUUGAGUGAUUACUCGUAUAUAGAACUAGCAUCGACAGUCGAGUUUAUCGAUACAGGAACUCCCUACUUGUCAAACAAUUUUGCCCCAAGGAUUCAUAUGUCUGUGGAUAAGCCUCGGUUGAGUCGCUAAAAAGAGGAUUAAGAAGACCAGGAGUGCUCACUCCAGAGCUCUCCUGAGAACCGGAGCUCUAUUUUCAACUCCUACGCUACGCGCCCCUCUACUCUGGUUAUAAUAUUAGCUGAAAAUCGUUGAGCAUUAGAGUUUCUGUUUGCCGCGACCUCUAUUGUCGAGUAGCAGUACUGAGAGUUCCGCUACUUGACGCUAGAUGUAGACUACGAAUAUAAUAAUAUUUUUGGUAAUAAAACCGUUGUAUGGAGUGAGCA